rnacentral:lncRNA from 1 species
CCCAGCCCGAGCUCAGUGCCUCCUCCAGAAGCCAACUGGGAGCUCUGGACUAAGGUAGGGUUCAGGUCUAGGGGCUGGCCUUUGGGGAGGCAGGACAGCCAGCAGCUGCCAGGAAAUCCAGGCACAGGAAGUCGUGGGGUGGGGUCUUGGUAUUCUCCCAGGGUGGGCGGGACCAGAGGAAGCCACUAACAAAGUCUUAGGCCUGUGGGUAUUUUUCUCUCCCAGCCCUUCUGAGCACGUGGUAUUCCCUUGCUUUGGGACCUGGGCCCUUUGUGGUAGCAGAAUCAGAGCACAGAGGACAAUGCCUGGGGGCUUAUAGUAAGACCCAGAGUGUUGCUGGAGGUCUCAGGUCUAUCCAAAUUGGAGCUAGUAGAGCCUGAAGAAAAGUGGAACCACCCAGCCAAGCCAAGAAGGGUUAGUACUUCUGCUUUGAGAGCAGACCUCACACAAACAGAUGGGAAGCAGAAACGAGGGAAGAGGAUUGAAGAUGAACCCACGUUUUAAAAGUCCUUGUCUGCAGGAGGUGGCAUUACCUGUGACCUCGCUUCACUUCUUCAUACAUGGCUGUUGUAGCAGGCCUGCCUCCUUGAGACUUACCCUGGGAAGCAGACUACAUAAUAACUUGAAAAUAUACAUGGGAUGUAAAGCUGAGUGAAGAAGAACAGAACUAGGUCAGGCAGAAAUUCAGUUCUUGCAAAAGAAGAUGCCUGAUGGAAAUACGUAAAUUAGACCUCAGUUUUGAUUUCAGUGGAAAUGAAAAGCAAGAGACCAACAGCAUGAGCAAGUUUCCUGAAUGGUCAGUCAUGUCCCACUCUUUGUGACCACAUGGACUACCGCCAGACUCCUCUUGUCCAUGGCAUUCUCCAGGCAAGAAUACUGAAGUGGGUUGCUGUUUUCUAUCCCAG